AGCAGAUUUGACAUUUGCUGCUUCCCCUAUCUACAGGCAUCAGAAAAAAAAGACAUUGUGUUAUUGUUUUAUGACAAUGCAGAAGGUAUGAUGAAGUUCGAAGAUAAAGUGCGGCUUCAAAGGAUCGAACUUUCAACCAAAGGGUUCAAACAGCCACUCUUACCCACUGUGACCAGCACCCAUUGGGUCAGACAAAAUAUCAACCUGGAGGAAUGGUUCCUGAAUGUUACCUACCUUUUCAAAUGCAUUUUUCAAGGAAGAGCGAAUAUAAUCAUCAACCAGAUCUCGAGAGAAAUCCACUGGAGUUUUAUCUCCUUUAUGUUGCUCUUCCCCA